rnacentral:piRNA from 1 species
UCUUUGUAUCAGAAGGGGAGUCCUAAG